AGUGAACGCUGGCGGUAGGCCUAACACAUGCAAGUCGAACGGCAGCACAGUAAGAGCUUGCUCUUACGGGUGGCGAGUGGCGGACGGGUGAGGAAUACAUCGGAAUCUACUUUUUCGUGGGGGAUAACGUAGGGAAACUUACGCUAAUACCGCAUACGACCUACGGGUGAAAGCAGGGGAUCUUCGGACCUUGCGCGAUUGAAUGAGCCGAUGUCGGAUUAGCUAGUUGGCGGGGUAAAGGCCCACCAAGGCGACGAUCCGUAGCUGGUCGGAGAGGAUGAUCGGCCACACUGGAACGGAGACACGGUCCAGACUCCUACGGGAGGCAGCAGUGGGGAAUAUUAGACAAUGGGCGCAAGCCUGAUCCAGCCAGACCGCGUGGGUGAAGAAGGCCUUCGGGUUGUAAAGCCCUUUUGUUGGGAAAGAAAAGCAGCAGGUUAAUACCCCGCUGUUCUGACGGUACCCAAAGAAUAAGCACCGGCUAACUUCGUG
rnacentral:rRNA from 1 species